ACUCAAAUGAAUUGACGGGGGCCCGCACAAGCGGUGGAGUAUGUGGUUUAAUUCGAAGCAACGCGCAGAACCUUACCUGGGCUUAACAUCCCACGACAUCCGCAGAGAUGCGGCUUUCCCUUCGGGGACGUGGAGAUAGGUGCUGCAUGGCUGUCGUCAGCUCGUGUCGUAAGAUGUUGGGUUAAGUCCCGCAACGAGCGCAACCCUUGUCCUUAGUUGCCAGCAUUAAGUUGGGCACUCUGAGGAGACUGCCGGUGUUAAACCGGAGGAAGGCGGGGAUGACGUCAAGUCCUCAUGGCCCUUACGUCCAGGGCUACACACGUACUACAAUGGCAAAGACAAAGGGUUGCGAAACCGCGAGGUGGAGCUAAUCCCAAAAACAUUGUCUCAGUCCGGAUUGGAGUCUGCAACUCGACUCCAUGAAGCUGGAAUCGCUAGUAAUCGCAGAUCAGCACGCUGCGGUGAAUACGUUCCCGGGCCUUGUACACACCGCCCGU
rnacentral:rRNA from 1 species